CCGUAACUAUAACGGUCCUAAGGUAGCGAAAUUCCUUGUCGGGUAAGUUCCGACCUGCACGAAAGGCGCAACGACUUGGGCGCUGUCUCGACCAUGGACCCGGUGAAAUUGCACUGGUCGUGAAGAUGCGACUUACCCGCGGAAGGACGGAAAGACCCCGUGAACCUUCACUGCAGCUUGGCAUUGGCCGCUGGUCCCGCGUGUAGAGGAUAGGCAGGAGGCAUCGAUCCGGAGGCGCCAGCCCCCGGGGAGCCGCCCUUGGAAUACUGCCCUCGCGCGACCGGCGUCCUAACCCGAGGCCGUCAACCGGCUCGGGGACCGUGCCAGGCGGGCAGUUUGACUGGGGCGGUCGCCUCCUAAAGGGUAACGGAGGCGCGCGAAGGUCCGCUCGGGACGGUCGGCAACCGUCCUUUUGAAUGCAAGAGUACAAGCGGGCUUGACUGCGAGGCCCACAAGCCGAGCAGGUGCGAAAGCAGGCUCUAGUGAUCCGGCGGCCCCGAGUGGGUGGGCCGUCGCUCAACGGAUAAAAGGUACUCCGGGGAUAACAGGCUGAUCUUGCCCAAGAGUCCACAUCGACGGCAAGGUUUGGCACCUCGAUGUCGGCUCAUCGCAUCCUGGGGCUGGAGCAGGUCCCAAGGGUACGGCUGUUCGCCGUUUAAAGCGGUACGCGAGCUGGGUUCAGAACGUCGUGAGACAGUUCGGUCCCUAUCCGGCGUGGGCGUAGGAUAUCUGAGAGGAGCUGUCCUUAGUACGAGAGGACCGGGAUGGACGGACCGCUGGUGGACCGGUUGGCUUGCCAAAGCCAUGGCCGGGUAGCCAAGUCCGGAAGGGAUAAACGCUGAAGGCAUCUAAGCGUGAAGCCCCCCUCAAGAUGAGAUAUCCCAUUCUUAGUGAAGUAAACCCCCUUGAAGACGACGAGGUAGAUAGGGCAGAGGUGGAAGUGUGGUAACACAUGGAGCUGACUGUUACUAAUCGGGUGAGGGCUUGACCAA
rnacentral:rRNA from 1 species